ensembl:lncRNA
GCGCCAGAUCUGCCCGGGGCUUGGGCUCAGGGAUGCUGAGUAGGCACAAGCACGGGACCCAGGGUGGCCUCUGCGGUGGAAAGCAGCCCCGGCCUCCCUCAGCCUCCUUCUCUGCUGGGAAGAUGAACACUAUUGAGUCUCUCUGGACAACCUUAGACUUCACAUCCCCAUUUUAAGAUGAGGAAAUCGAGGCUUAGAGAGAUCCUUUGUUUUAUGCUGUGGGACAAGAAAUCGCACUCUGCAAUGCCAAGGUCAACACCAAGUUGCACACAGGAGGCUGGCGCAGUUCCCGUGUCACCCUCCUGACCCUGGGUAAGCCCCCAAGGCUUCUCAGGGGUGCCUGAAGAGAGGACUCUGAAACCAGCCCAGGGCCCUCGGACCAGAUGGGGUGGAACAAGUGUUACUUUUUAUUGUUCUCUACCCUGAGGUCUGGCAGCUGCCUGUCAGCUUGGGUUCCCCACAGCCCCACCAGCUCCCCUCCAGCCCCAGUCAGCCCCGGAGGUGGCUGGUCAGGCCCAUUGGGCCACAUUUCUCCUAGUUUCCCAACUCGGUAACACCCGCCCCCUUGCUGGGGACCUCUGCCCCCUACCCUGAGGGAAGAUUCCAGAACAGACAGCAGAGCUGCCCUGGUGACAAAACCCAGAAGCAAGUAAAGGGGUAUUUACUGAGUACCUGCAACUUGCCAGGCCCUUGAGGUAUUCAUUCCUCCUUGAGCUGCCCAGAGAAGAUUAUCCUUUGUUUACUUCUGAUGAAAGCAAGGCUCAGGGAGGCCAACUGCCCCGGAGCAUGCCGCUGGGAAAGGGGGGAGAAUUUUUCUAUCCCGAGCUGGAGCUGAAAUCGAGACUCUGAGAACAGCUCUGUCACUUGACCCUGCCCCAGCCCGUCCCGGGACUCAGUGACAAGGGCCGCAUGCACACUCGUGGCCGCUGUCCGAGCCCAGCUCCACCCAAGGACUGUGGGCCUGGAGGCGGCUCCCGACGGGCCUGGCCGGAGGCCUCGGUCUGCGUUUCGAGGCAGUUUGCCCAGGCUUCCUCUUAUGUGGGCAGGAAGAGCUUGGCGCUUGGGUCACGAUGUCGCUACACGGCCACUUCCACCGGCGACCGGAGCCCGAUCUGACAGCCUCACUUCUCGGUCCGCAAAGUGGGAUAUCCUCAUUUCACUGCGGCGCGGGAGGGAUAGGCCCCAGCAACGAAAAGAUGGGUAAACUCGUUCCCAAAUUACUGUGAAUUUCGAGGCGGUGAUAGCAGAGCGGGAACUAAGCUCCGGGCCCUUGGCAGCACGGGGUCCUGUGUGGUCCUGGGUCGCACUGCCCGAAGCAGGCGCCGACGCUGCAGGCGG